rnacentral:rRNA from 1 species
CUUAAGCAUAUCAAUAAGCGGAGGAAAAGAAACUAACAAGGAUUCCCCUAGUAACUGCGAGUGAAGCGGGAAAAGCUCAAAUUUAAAAUCUGGCGGUCUCUGGCCGUCCGAGUUGUAAUCUAGAGAAGUAAUGCCCGUGCUGGACCGUGUAUAAGUCUCCUGGGAUGGGGCGUCAUAGAGGGUGAGAAUCCCGUCUUUGACACGGACUACCAGUGCAUUGUGGUAUGCUCUCAAAGAGUCGAGUUGUUUGGGAAUGCAGCUCAAAAUGGGUGGUAAAUUCCAUCUAAAGCUAAAUACUGGCGAGAGACCGAUAGCGAACAAGUACCGUGAGGGAAAGAUGAAAAGAACUUUGGAAAGAGAGUUAAACAGUACGUGAAAUUGCUGAAAGGGAAACGCUUGAAGUCAGUCGCGUUGGCCGGAAAUCAGCCUUGCUUUUGCCUGGUGUACUUUCUGGUUGACGGGUCAGCAUCAAUUUUGACCACUGGAAAAGGCUCAAGGGAAUGUGGCAGCUUCGGCUGUGUUAUAGCCCUUGUUCAUAUACAGUGGUUGGGAUUGAGGAACUCAGCACGCCGCAAGGCCGGGUUUCGACCACGUUCGUGCUUAGGAUGCUGGCAUAAUGGCUUUAAGCGACCCGUCUUGAAAACACGG